GCGUUGGUGGUUCAGUGGUAGAAUUCUCACUGCCAUGCAGGAGGCCUGGUUUUGAUUCCCAGCCAAUGCA
rnacentral:tRNA from 1 species